CCUGGACAUGGUUUGCACUUCUACGCAGUGUCCAGGACCAGUAGCCCUAAGGGGUGAAGCCAAGCAAAC
rnacentral:ribozyme from 1 species